rnacentral:rRNA from 1 species
UCGGAAUCUGGGAGGACCAUCUCCUAAGGCUAAAUACUCUCUAGUGACCGAUAGUGAACCAGUACCGUGAGGGAAAGGUGAAAAGCACCCCGGAAGGGGAGUGAAAUAGAACCUGAAACCGUGUGCUUACAAGUAGUCAGAGCCCGUUAAUGGGUGAUGGCGUGCCUUUUGUAGAAUGAACCGGCGAGUUACGAUUUGAUGCAAGGUUAAGCAGUAAAUGUGGAGCCGUAGCGAAAGCGAGUCUGAAUAGGGCGUUUAGUAUUUGGUCGUAGACCCGAAACCAGGUGAUCUACCCUUGGUCAGGUUGAAGUUCAGGUAACACUGAAUGGAGGACCGAACCGACUUACGUUGAAAAGUGAGCGGAUGAACUGAGGGUAGCGGAGAAAUUCCAAUCGAACCUGGAGAUAGCUGGUUCUCUCCGAAAUAGCUUUAGGGCUAGCCUCAAGUGAUGAUUAUUGGAGGUAGAGCACUGUUUGGACGAGGGGCCCCUCUCGGGUUACCGAAUUCAGACAAACUCCGAAUGCCAAUUAAUUUAACUUGGGAGUCAGAACAUGGGUGAUAAGGUCCGUGUUCGAAAGGGAAACAGCCCAGACCACCAGCUAAGGUCCCAAAAUAUAUGUUAAGUGGAAAAGGAUGUGGCGUUGCCCAGACAACUAGGAUGUUGGCUUAGAAGCAGCCAUCAUUUAAAGAGUGCGUAAUAGCUCACUAGUCGAGUGACACUGCGCCGAAAAUGUACCGGGGCUAAACAUAUUACCGAAGCUGUGGAUUGUCCUUUGGACAAUGGUAGGAGAGCGUUCUAAGGGCGUUGAAGCAUGAUCGUAAGGACAUGUGGAGCGCUUAGAAGUGAGAAUGCCGGUGUGAGUAGCGAAAGACGGGUGAGAAUCCCGUCCACCGAUUGACUAAGGUUUCCAGAGGAAGGCUCGUCCGCUCUGGGUUAGUCGGGUCCUAAGCUGAGGCCGACAGGCGUAGGCGAUGGAUAACAGGUUGAUAUUCCUGUACCACCUAUAAUCGUUUUAAUCGAUGGGGGGACGCAGUAGGAUAGGCGAAGCGUGCGAUUGGAUUGCACGUCUAAGCAGUAAGGCUGAGUAUUAGGCAAAUCCGGUACUCAUUAAGGCUGAGCUGUGAUGGGGAGAAGACAUUGUGUCUUCGAGUCGUUGAUUUCACACUGCCGAGAAAAGCCUCUAGAUAGAAAAUAGGUGCCCGUACCGCAAACCGACACAGGUAGUCAAGAUGAGAAUUCUAAGGUGAGCGAGCGAACUCUCGUUAAGGAACUCGGCAAAAUGACCCCGUAACUUCGGGAGAAGGGGUGCUCUUUAGGGUUAACGCCCAGAAGAGCCGCAGUGAAUAGGCCCAAGCGACUGUUUAUCAAAAACACAGGUCUCUGCUAAACCGUAAGGUGAUGUAUAGGGGCUGACGCCUGCCCGGUGCUGGAAGGUUAAGAGGAGUGGUUAGCUUCUGCGAAGCUACGAAUCGAAGCCCCAGUAAACGGCGGCCGUAACUAUAACGGUCCUAAGGUAGCGAAAUUCCUUGUCGGGUAAGUUCCGACCCGCACGAAAGGCGUAACGAUUUGGGCACUGUCUCAACGAGAGACUCGGUGAAAUCAUAGUACCUGUGAAGAUGCAGGUUACCCGCGACAGGACGGAAAGACCCCGUGGAGCUUUACUGUAGCCUGAUAUUGAAAUUCGGCACAGCUUGUACAGGAUAGGUAGGAGCCUUUGAAACGUGAGCGCUAGCUUACGUGGAGGCGCUGGUGGGAUACUACCCUAGCUGUGUUGGCUUUCUAACCCGCACCACUUAUCGUGGUGGGAGACAGUGUCAGGCGGGCAGUUUGACUGGGGCGGUCGCCUCCUAAAAGGUAACGGAGGCGCUCAAAGGUUCCCUCAGAAUGGUUGGAAAUCAUUCAUAGAGUGUAAAGGCAUAAGGGAGCUUGACUGCGAGACCUACAAGUCGAGCAGGGUCGAAAGACGGACUUAGUGAUCCGGUGGUUCCGCAUGGAAGGGCCAUCGCUCAACGGAUAAAAGCUACCCCGGGGAUAACAGGCUUAUCUCCCCCAAGAGUUCACAUCGACGGGGAGGUUUGGCACCUCGAUGUCGGCUCAUCGCAUCCUGGGGCUGUAGUCGGUCCCAAGGGUUGGGCUGUUCGCCCAUUAAAGCGGUACGCGAGCUGGGUUCAGAACGUCGUGAGACAGUUCGGUCCCUAUCCGUCGUGGGCGUAGGAAAUUUGAGAGGAGCUGUCCUUAGUACGAGAGGACCGGGAUGGACAUACCUCUGGUGUACCAGUUGUCGUGCCAACGGCAUAGCUGGGUAGCUAUGUGUGGACGGGAUAAGUGCUGAAAGCAUCUAAGCAUGAAGCCCCCCUCAAGAUGAGAUUUCCCAACUUCGGUUAUAAGAUCCCUCAAAGAUGAUGAGGUUAAUAGGUUCGAGGUGGAAGCAUGGUGACAUGUGGAGCUGACGAAUACUAA